AAACAAUUUCCUCCAUCUUAUUAGUACUGAAUAAUUAUGGGCACUAUGGCAUAUAUAAAACAUCUGGAAUUGGCUACUUUUGGAGACAGGAUACUGGACUAGGUAAGAUAUUGGGCUGUUUUGUUCUAGCAACUAAAAUGUUCCCAUAAAUUUCACUCCAAAUCUCUUUUACUUUCCCAGUGGUAUACAGUACUAGCAUAUCAGAUUUUUUUUACACUUUAGCAUUUGGUUUUAAAAAGCUUUCAAACACCUAAUCUGUGAAGCAGUAUUUAGAAGACAGUGAUAUGGAUGACAUACACACAGCUAUGAAUUACUUUUCACACAUGCAUGGCAGCCAAUGUCAGAUUUUCCUUUUGCUUAUUGUUUAAACAAUGAAAAGUCCAAAUAAAGCAUGAUUAAGGAUCUGCUCACCCCCUUACCAUUCCCCCCCGCCCAUUUCUUGGUAUAACAGUCUAUUUUACAGAGAAUUGUUACAUUAAGAGCUUAAGUGACAUGGGAUAAUCUUGUACGAUUCCUGGGAGAACCUUGUAACUCUGUCCAGUUAUUGAAAUAAGAUUCUUUUGGAGUUCUGAUCAAUAAGGUGGGUGGAAGAUUACAAGUACUGGAUAUUUCCUUUUGUUAUAUGCAAAUGUUAAAUAGCACCAGAUGAGUUUUGUGUCUUACAGAGAGGAUAAUCACACAGCCCCUGCUCAGAGAAGCUUACACUCUAGGGCCCUUAUCCUGCAAUAGACUGUGUAAGGAGGAUUGCUGAACCUGCACAGAAUCCUGAUUACUUCAAUAGGGCUUCAAGCAGGCACAGUAAUACGCUUGUGUGCUAUCAAUUGUGGGACUGCAGCACAGAUAAGAUCUAUGAUGAGACUCAAGGAAAGAUAACAUCAGACGGGUGCUCACAAGAUUAUGAAGCAACUUGUUUUUGCAAGUCACAUAUGCUGGGUUUGCAGAGCCACCCGAAGGCUGAAAUCUGAAACUCCUUGGAAAAGAAAAAUUAGAGAGAGACAUGAAA